AUUGAACGCUGGCGGCAGGCCUAAUACAUGCAAGUCGAACGAGUGGCGGACGGGUGAGUAAUGUCUGGGAAACUGCCCGAUGGAGGGGGAUAACUAGUGGAACCGGUAGCUAAUACCGCAUAUCAUCGGAUGUGCCCAGAUUGGAUUAGCUAGUAGGUGGGGUAACGGCUCACCUAGGCGACGAUCCCUAGCUGGUCUGAGAGGAUGACCAGCCACACUGGAACUGAGACACGGCCCAGACUCCUACGGGAGGCAGCAGUAGGGAAUAUUGCACAAUGGACGCAAGUCUGAUCGAGCAAUGCCGCGUGGAUGAAGAAGGCUUUCGGGUUGUAAAGCACUUUCAGUGAGGAGGCGGUACUCACACAAGAAGCCUCGGCUAACUCCGUGCCAGCAGCCGCGGUAAUUC
rnacentral:rRNA from 1 species